rnacentral:tRNA from 1 species
GUCUUGGUGGUGAAAUGGUAGACACAAUUGAUUCAAAAUCAAUUGCUAAUAGCGUGGAGGUUCAAAUCCUCUUCAAGACA